rnacentral:rRNA from 1 species
GAUGAACGCUAGCGGCAGGCUUAACACAUGCAAGUCGAGGGGUAUAGUUCUUCGGAACUAGAGACCGGCGCACGGGUGCGUAACGCGUAUGCAAUCUACCUUUCACAAAGGGAUAGCCCCAGAGAAAUUUGGAUUAAUACCUUAUAGUAAUACGACUUGGCAUCAAGAUGUAUUUAAAGAUUUAUCGGUGAAAGAUGAGCAUGCGUCCCAUUAGCUUGUUGGUAAGGUAACGGCUUA